UGAAGUUACAUCAUGGUCGCUU
rnacentral:miRNA from 1 species